UACGUAGGGUGCGAGCGUUGUCCGGAAUUAUUGGGCGUAAAGAGCUUGUAGGCGGUUUGUCGCGUCUGCUGUGAAAAUCCGGGGCUCAACCCCGGACUUGCAGUGGGUACGGGCAGACUAGAGUGUGGUAGGGGAGACUGGAAUUCCUGGUGUAGCGGUGAAAUGCGCAGAUAUCAGGAGGAACACCGAUGGCGAAGGCAGCUCGCUGGGACGUACUGACA
rnacentral:rRNA from 1 species